rnacentral:rRNA from 1 species
AGUGAACGCUGGCGGUAGGCCUAACACAUGCAAGUCGAACGGCAGCACAGGAGAGCUUGCUCUCUGGGUGGCGAGUGGCGGACGGGUGAGGAAUACAUCGGAAUCUACUCUGGCGUGGGGGAUAACGUAGGGAAACUUACGCUAAUACCGCAUACGACCUACGGGUGGAAGCAGGGGAUCUUCGGACCUUGCGCGAUUGAAUGAGCCGAUGUCGGAUUAGCUAGUUGGCGGGGUAAAGGCCCACCAAGGCGACGAUCCGGAGCUGGUCUGAGAGGAUGAUCAGCCCCACUGGAACUGAGACACGGUCCAGACUCCUACGGGAGGCAGCAGUGGGGAAUAUUGGACAAUGGGCGCAAGCCUGAUCCAGCCAUACCGCGUGGGUGAAGAAGGCCUUCGGGUUGUAAAGCCCUUUUGUUGGGAAAGAAAUCCAGCUGGCUAAUACCCGGUUGGGAUGACGGUACCCAAAGAAUAAGCACCGGCUAACUUCGUGCCAGCCGCCGCGGUAA